rnacentral:lncRNA from 10 species
GCGCGCGAAAAGCUGAGGCGGCAACGUCGGGGACGGCUGCGCGGGACGGCUCUGUAGGAAGGAACUUGGUUCCCCCUCCCUCAGCUUCCGCCCCAAAAGAUGCAAUCCUUGGGAGGCUGAGGCAGGAGAAUCGUUUGAAUCCGGAAGGCAGAGGUUGCAGUGAGCCAAGAUUGCGCCACUACACUCCAGCGUGGGUGACAGAACAAAACUCCAUCUCAAAAAAAAGAAAAAAGAUGCAAUUUUUGUUCCCUGUCAUACCUAAUUAAAGGAAAUUUGUGUUUA